AGAUGUGAGGGUGAUCUGGCUGCGACAUCUGUCACCCCAUUGAUCGCCAGGGUUGAUUCGGCUGAUGUGGCUGGCUAGGCGGGUGUCCCCUUCCUCCCUCACCGCUCCAUGUGCGCCCCUCCCAAAGCUGCGGCUUGGUUGAAGAGGACGACCAUUCCCCGCUAGAGGAGGGACCAGUUUGCAGUCAAGGGUUAUACGGGGUAGCUGCGCUCCCAUGCUAGAACCUCCAAACAAGCUCUCAAGAAAGAAGGGGUGCUAGGGACUACCUUUUCAUCAACUGGAUUGACUUCUGU
rnacentral:snRNA from 1 species